rnacentral:rRNA from 1 species
GGCCAGACUCCUACGGGAGGCAGCAGUGGGGAAUAUUGCACAAUGGGGGAAACCCUGAUGCAGCGACGCCGCGUGAGUGAAGAAGUCAUUCGUGAUGUAAAGCUCUCUCAGCAGGGAAGAAAAUGACAGUACCUGACCAAGAAGCCCCGGCUAACUACGUGCCAGCAGCCGCGGUAAUACGUAGGGGGCAAGCGUUAUCCGGAUUUACUGGGUGUAAAGGGAGCGCAGGCGGUAUGGCAAGUCAGAUGUGAAACCCCAGGGCCCAACCCUGGGACUGCAUUUGAAACUGCCAUACUGGAGUGCCGGAGAGGUAAGUGGAAUUCCUAGUGUAGCGGUGAAAUGCGUAGAUAUUAGGAGGAACACCAGUGGCGAAAGCGGCUUACUGGACGGUAACUGACGCUGAGGCUCGAAAGCGUGGGGAGCAAACAGGAUUAGAUACCCCCGUAG